UCCCCAGUGGUCCAAUGGUUAGGACUCUGUGCUUCCACUGCUCUGGGUCUGGGUUUGAUCCCUGCUGGGGGA
rnacentral:tRNA from 1 species